rnacentral:lncRNA from 1 species
AUGAUACAUGAUAACCAUACAUAAUGACUACUGUAAAUUAUAAACAUCUAAAUGACAUGUAUGAUACAUGAUAACCAUACAUAAUGACUACUGGUUAUUGCUAAUGGAUUUCACAUAGUGGUAACCACAAUUGGUCACCAUAUAGAAGGGGGUGUUUGAACACUCUCAACAUGGAGCAGAUAGACAACAAGGGAGAGGAAGAAAUCAAAGAGCUCAUGGACACGGGGCCCCUCAGAGAGGUGGGCAUGGACCCCAACAAAGAGGUGGGCAUGGGCCCCGACAAAGAGGUGGGCAUGGACCCCGACAAAGAGGUGGGCAUGGGCCCCGACAAAGAGGUGGGCAUGGACCCUGACAAAGAGGUGGGCAUGGACCCGGACAAAUAGGUGGGCAUGGGCCCCGACAAAGAGGUGGGCAUGGGCCCCGUUAGAGGUUUACAUCAGAGAGAGGGAGGCAGACGGCAGGGAACUGUUGUGUCUAAUGAAGUCCGGGCCAUCAUCGGUGACCAUGUGGUUAACAGAGGCCUUACCAUGGCAGAGGAUGAUUAGUUAGGUUAGUUCAACACAAUCUGAAAAGAUCAACUGUCAAUUCGCCAAGAAAACCAGUAAGUCUGCAGGAUAUGGACUAUGCUUUACCAUUACAUCUACAGUAAAUUACAUUUUGUAAUGCAUGUCAAUUCACAAAACAUGUUACACUAUUCUUACAGUAUGAUCUAUUGACAGUAUACUGUGUUCUACCCUCAGAAGACCCCAUGGUGGUGGCCGUGUGCUGACCGAUCAGCAGGAGUGGGGAGUGGUGGAAAUGGUGAGGGCCAGGAAUGACAUACGUCUGUCUGAAAUAAAGCAGGCCAUUGAGGAGAACAAUGACACCUUUGCCAAUGUGGCAUCCAUCAGCCUGCCAACAAUCGCCCAACUUUUGAAGAGGCAUCCAGAGGGUGAUGGUGCUUGAUGUUGCUGUGAACCAUCACAAGUAUAUCUUCGUUGAUGAAACAGGCUUCAAUCAGGCCAAAACUCGGCACCAUGGGUAGAACCUCACCGGCCAACGGGCGACCGUCCAAGCGCCUGGACAACGGGGGGAAACAUCUUCAUGUGCACAGUUAUCUCUGAAUAGUAUGGUAUGGUAGGAUAUAGGCCUACCAUCAUGGUGUGGUAGGAGGUAGACCUACCAUCAUGGUGUGGUAGGAGGUAGACCUACCAUCAUGGUGUGGUAGAAGGUAGACCUACCAUCAUGGUGUGGUAGGAGGUAGACCUACCAUCAUGGUGUGGUAGGAGGUAGGCCUACCAUCAUGGUGUGGUAGGAGGUAGACCUACCAUCAUGGUGUGGUAGGACGAAGGCCUACCAUCAUGGUGUGGUAGGACAUAGACCUACCAUCUUGGUGUGGUAGGAGGUAGGCCUACCAUCAUGGUGUGGUAGGAGGUAGACCUACCAUCAUGGUGUGGUAGGAUGUAGGCCUACCAUCAUGGUGUGGUAGGAGGAAUUGCAGGCCGAAUAUGGAAACCAUGUGUUUGAUGUAUUUGAUACCAUUCCACUCAUUCUGUUCCAGCCAUUACCACGAGCCCAUCCUCCCCAAUGAAGGUGCCACCAACCUCCUGCGAUGCAGACAAAUGUCAAGCUUGGAUUCACCAUGCCAUGUUUUAUUUUCAUUCAUUUCAUUUCUCACAUUUGAUUAGACAGUAUGUUGCAAUUAUAUCUGAAAAUUCAUUGUUUUUAUUUGCAUGAAUGAUUGUAGAGGACGUUUUCAUGGAAUACAUGUUGGAUAGAUAUGAUAGAUUUUCUGUAAAUUUUUUGGGGUAAUGUAAGUGUAUUGCCUAAUGUGAAAACUGUAAUCUGCUAUUCACAGGACUGUGUUCCUUUCAGCACCUCUAAGGGGGAUUUGAAACGCGUAUCUUGCAUUGUUUGCUAUUGGAUUAACUGGGAGUUAAAAAUAAUCAAUUGUAAAGACAUCAUUAUGUUGUGUUCUGGUGAAUAAACCAAUGUCACAUUACAUUUCACAAUAAACUUUGAUUUUAAAUGAAUGGUUGUGUGGUGCGAUAUGUUUACAAUCCAAAUGAAUGCACAAUGAAAGGUUUUCAAUGAAAGACUGGCUGUGUCACAAGUGUUACCAGUUUGG